rnacentral:rRNA from 1 species
GACGAACGCUGGCCGGCAUGCCUAAUACAUGCAAGUCGAGCGAACAGAUGAAGUGCUUGCACUUCUGACGUUAGCGGCGAACGGGUGAGUAACACGUAAGGAAUCUACCUAUAAGCGGGGGAUAACAUUCGGAAACGGGUGCUAAUACCGCAUAAUAUCUUCUUCCGCAUGGAAGAAGAUUGAAAGACGGCUCUGCUGUCACUUAUAGAUGACCUUGCGGUGCAUUAGUUAGUUGGUGGGGUAACGGCCUACCAAGACGAUGAUGCAUAGCCGACCUGAGAGGGUGAUCGGCCACAUUGGGACUGAGACACGGCCCAAACUCCUACGGGUAGGCAGCAGUAGGGAAUCUUCCGCAAUGGGCGAAAGCCUGACGGAGCAAUGCCGCGUGAGUGAAG